rnacentral:rRNA from 1 species
UACGGAGGGAGCUAGCGUUGUUCGGAAUUACUGGGCGUAAAGCGCACGUAGGCGGCUUUGUAAGUUAGAGGUGAAAGCCCGGGGCUCAACUCCGGAACUGCCUUUAAGACUGCAUCGCUCGAAUUGUGGAGAGGUAAGUGGAAUUCCGAGUGUAGAGGUGAAAUUCGUAGAUAUUCGGAAGAACACCAGUGGCGAAGGCGACUUACUGGACACAUAUUGACGCUGAGGUGCGAAAGCGUGGGGAGCAAACAGG